rnacentral:rRNA from 1 species
AUGGCAAGGACGCGGGUCGUCAUGGACAAACUUGAACAAGAACUCGUCGCCAUGCAUUCUGCUGAAAAUGGAGGUGUCGCGGACAAUGAAGCCAUUGAGCAGGAUAUUGCUACAAUGUUAUCAGAGAUGAACCAUAUGGGAGCUAUUGACCCGUUUGAGAAUGAGGAAGAGGAGCAGCAGCAACCGGAGCUUGCCCGUGUGCACACUCAAGAGCACCGACAAACUCACAUGCGAGAUCAUGAGCUCGAUGGUGCUGUAGGCGAACAACAUGACAAUAGCACAUCCUACCAGCAGCAGCAGGAAAGGGUGAUUAAACCCCCAAUAUUCUCAAACACAAAGGGGAGGAAGAGCAAGAUGCAAGCAGCAGCGAAAAAGCCAUGA